rnacentral:rRNA from 1 species
GCGCCAGACUCCUACGGGAGGCAGCAGUAGGGAAUCUUUCACAAUGGGCGAAAGCCUGAUGGAGCAACGCCGCGUGCAGGAUGAAGGCCUUCGGGUUGUAAACUGCUUUUAUAAGCGAGAAAUAUGAUGGUAACUUAUGAAUAAGGAUCGGCUAACUACGUGCCAGCAGCCGCGGUAAUACGGAGGAUGCGAGCGUUAUCCGGAUUUAUUGGGUUUAAAGGGUGCGUAGGCGGAAUGCCAAGUCAGCGGUAAAAUCGCGGGGCUCAACCUCGCUCCGCCGUUGAAACUGGCGUUCUUGAGUGGGCGAGAAGUAUGCGGAAUGCGUGGUGUAGCGGUGAAAUGCAUAGAUAUCACGCAGAACUCCGAUUGCGAAGGCAGCAUGCCGGCUCCACACUGACGCUGAGGCACGAAAGCGUGGGUAUCGAACAGGAUUAGAUACCCCCGUA